AACGUAGGGGACAAGCGUUAUCCGGAUUUACUGGGCGUAAAGCGCCCGUAGGCGGCCUGACAAGUUGGACGUGAAAGCUCCUGGCUUAACUGGAGAGGCCGUUCAAAACUGUCAAGCUAGAGUCUGGAAGAGGAGAGCGGAAUUCCCGGUGUAGUGGUGGAAUGCGUAGAGAUCGGGAGGAACACCAGUGGCGAAAGCGGCUCUCUGGUCCAAAACUGACGCUGAGGGGCGAAAGCGUGGGGAGCGAACGGG
rnacentral:rRNA from 1 species